rnacentral:piRNA from 1 species
AGCAUGGUCUGCCUCAAAUAGUAAUGUA